CCUACGGGAGGCAGCAGUGGGGAAUAUUGGGCAAUGGGCGCAAGCCUGACCCAGCAACGCCGCGUGAAGGAAGAAGGCUUUCGGGCUGUAAACUUCUUUUAUGAGGGACGAAGGAAGUGACGGUACCUCAUGAAUAAGUCACGGCUAACUCCGUGCCAGCAGCCGCGGUAAUACGGAGGAUUCGAGGGUUAUCCGGAUUUAUUGGGUGUAAAGGGAGCGUAGGCGGGUUGUUAAGUCAGUUGUGAAAGUUUGCGGCUCAACCGUAAAAUUGCAGUUGAUACUGGCAUCCUUGAGUGUAGUAGAGGUAGGCGGAAUUCGAGGUGUAGCGGUGAAAUGCUUAGAUAUCACGAAGAACACCGAUGGCGAAGGCAGCCUGCUGGACUGUAACUGACGCUGAUGCUCGAAAGUGUGGGUAGCAAACAGGAUUAGAUACCCUUGUAGUC
rnacentral:rRNA from 1 species